rnacentral:rRNA from 1 species
UACGGAGGGUGCAAGCGUUGCUCGGAAUUAUUGGGCGUAAAGCGCACGCAGGCGGCGUGGUAAGUCAGUUGUGAAACUCCCGGGCUUAACUUGGGAACUGCAGCUGAUACUGCCAUGCUUGAGUACGGAAGAGGGGAGUGGAAUUCCCAGUGUAGAGGUGAAAUUCGUAGAUAUUCGCAGGAACACCAGUGGCGAAGGCGGCUCACUGGCCCGGAACUGACGCUGAGGUGCGAAAGCGUGGGGAGCAA